UACAGAGGUCUCAAGCGUUGUUCGGAUUCAUUGGGCGUAAAGGGUGCGUAGGCGGCGUGGUAAGUCGGGUGUGAAAUCUCACAGCUUAACUGUGAAACUGCAUUGGAUACUAUUCGGCUAGAGAGUUGGAGGGGGGACUGGAAUUCUUGGUGUAGCAGUGAAAUGCGUAGAUAUCAAGAGGAACACCAGUGGCGAAGGCGGGUCUCUGGACAGUUCCUGACACUGAGACACGAAGGCCAGGGGAGCAAACAGG
rnacentral:rRNA from 1 species